rfam:Lentinula edodes NBRC 111202 DNA, contig: scaffold328.
GCCGGCGUGGCGCAAUGGUAGCGCGUAGCUUUCCUAAGGCUGAAGUUGCGGGUUCGAUCCCCGUCGUCGGUU